rnacentral:rRNA from 1 species
ACUGAACCGAGCCCCAAUCCCCGACCCGGCGACAGACCAGGCAGCCCCCGAUUUCUAGGGUUCUCCUCCGCCUCCGCCGUCCACCGGCGCGCUCCCGCGUCGCCGCCGGCGGGACGCCUCAAGAGCCCCGUCGGCCCCCUCCACCCCCUCACCCACCUCCAUUGCGCUCCGCUCCGCUCCGCCCCCUCCCCCUCAUCUGCCUCCACCACAGUGACCGGCCGGCCGGCCGCCGCAGGAGCUCGGCCGAGGCGACGGGCCGCCGCAGGAGCUCCACCCCGGCACCGCCUUCGCCGCCCCUCUUCUCUCACCCGGCCUCCCCUGCGCCCGCCGGCUGGAUUCCGCAGCAGUUCGGCCCUGAGGUGCCCUGUCUGAUGCGUUGAUUCGACCGAAGCGGAUGGCCAACACCCGGUCAGGAGGGGCGAACAAUGAGGGGGCAGGGGCCACCAGUGCAAGGAAAGGCAGUGCCGCCACCAAGUCCGCAUCGACCUCCACCUCGUCUGCCGGUGGAAGGGAGUCCAGAAGCUCGUCCACGCGUGAAACGAGCGAGGAGCAGAAGCCAAACCUCAGGAGGUCGAACCGGGAAACAAGAGGAAAGAACCCCGUUGGGACCACCACACCGGUUUCGCAGAAGUCUACGAGGGGCAGGAGCAACCCCAGCACACCUGAUACCCCGAAAUCGUCGCCAAAGAAGCUAAAAGGGUCGACAAUGAAGGCUGGUACCCCAAGAACGUCCGACAGAAUAAAGAAAAGUACCGUUUCAGCUUCGACCGCUUCAAAUGAUUCAAAUGGAGUUCCUAGUCCAGUGGCCACUCCCGACAAAACCGUAAAUGGACAAAUUGAUGAACAUAACUCAGCAAAGCAUAAGCAUGAUGAUGCUUCCGAGAGUGGUACCAGGUCAUUGAAGAAGCAGAAAAGGCUAACUGCAAAGAGCUAUACAAGUCUCUUCAAGACAUCUUCUGAAGAAUAUGAAAAAUCCCCUGGCUAUGAAGGAAAUGCUUCCAAGGUGGACGCGGAAGACAAUGGCUCUGUUUUGAGGUAUGAAGAAAGUGGCGCACAUGAAGAAGAUGACAAGGCACAUUUAAGUCAAGUCGUCAAUAAUUGUUUGGAAGGCUAUACUUCUGGCCAGUGUGAACCUCCCGAGGUGAUAUUGGAGACAGAUGGGUUGAAAACUGAUGUUGAAAAAUCUGCUCAGUGUGAAGCUCCUGAGGUGAUAUUGGAGACAGAUGGGUCGAAAACUGAUGUUGAAAAAUCCGCUCCCAUUUCAGAGGCACAUAUGACUGCUGAUCUGUGCUCACAAAAUAUUCUGACUGAAAGCAGUCCUGCAAUGGAUGCUAGAGAGCCAACUCAUGACUGUUCAGAGUUCGCACUUCACACUGCAAUGGGCCGGAAAGCGGACUCAUCAAAAUUUGUGGAGUAUUGGGUUCCUGCUUGCCUUUCACGAGUGCAACUAGAAAUGUACUGUUAUACCUUACUUUCAAACUCACCAGCGCUUCGAUCACAUUCAAAAACUGACAGUGUUGGUGCUCUUCGCAACAUUCUUGUAUCCCUCCGGAAGUGCUGCGACCACCCUUAUCUAGUAGAUGCAAUGCUCCAAACCUCACUUACCAAGGGCUACCCGAUAACUGAUAUCCUAGAUAUUGGAGUGCGUGCGAGUGGCAAGCUACUGCUUCUUGACAAAAUGCUCCGAGAAAUCAAGGGAAAAGGGCAGAGAGUUCUUAUCCUUACCCAGUCCUGUGGUGGAGCUGGCAAUCCAAUGGGUGAUAUUUUGGAUGAUUUUGUCCGUCAAAGAUAUGGUUUUGAGUCAUAUGAACGCCUGGAGCGUGGUCUCGCUGUAUCAAAGAAACAGGGUGCAAUGAGUAUGUUCAAUGACACGACUAAGGGCCGGUUUAUUUUCUUGAUUGAUAGUCGUGCAUGUCUCCCAAGCAUUAAACUAUCUUCAGUUGAUGUCAUCAUCAUAUAUUGUAGUGAUUGGAAUCCCACAAAUGACUUGAGAGUCCUCCAGAGGAUCAGCAUAGAGUCACAAUCUGAAUGUGUGCCCAUUUUUCGUCUGUAUUCAUCUUGCACAUUGGAGGAAAAGGCUCUUAUACUUGCAAAGCAUGAUCAUAUUCUUGAUAGCAAUGGCCAGAAUAUAACGCCUAUCCUGAGCCAUUCUCUGCUUAGUUGGGGUGCAUCAUUUCAAUUCAGCAGACUCGAAGAGCUAAAAAAUGAUGCAUAUUUAACCAAUGAUUUUGGUGCUGAAAAACUGUUCAUGGAUAAAGUACUUCAGGAGUACUUAAUGAAGUUGUCCAUGAAAAAUGAUCCCAGCACUGAGAUGAGCAAUGCAGCCAUUUCACAAGCUCGUCUGAAUGGACCUUUUUAUUCUAGAGAUACUGUUGUGGUAGGUGAGAGGGGCGGGAUAUCUGCACCUGAUAGUGAUCUGCCAAAAUUCUGGGUAAAUUUGCUAGAUCGGAAGUCUCCUCGUUGGCAGUAUAUAACUGAGCCGACACAAAGAAGCCGUAGAAAGAUACAAAACAUGGAAGAAGCGAAAAUUCCUGCCGAUGAGGCCAGUACCAAACGUAGAAAAAUUGCUGGACCCUUGGAUUCAUCUGCAAAUGUUUUAGCUGGCGAAGAUAAGGACUCAAUAUUGCCUGAAAUUAAUACUACAUCUAGUCGUCAUCAAAUAUCAGUUGACCACACGUGGCAGGAACAAGGGGUGGAACAUCUUCAGGACACACAAAAAGGUCUUCACAUCAAAUUGAAGCCAGAGCUAUCAAAGCUAUAUGAAUUGUUUGAACUACCGGGAAGUGUUCAAUGUUUAUGUGAUGAACUUCUUCAUUAUACUUUGAAGAAUCACCAAGUCAGUGUGGAGCCAAAGCACAUAUUGCAUGCAUUCAAUAUUGCACUGUGCUGGCGUGCUGCUUCUCUCUCAAGGCAUCAGGUUAAUCAUAGAGAAUCACUGGCCCUUGCUGAAAAACACUUGAAAUAUGAGUGCAGUGAAACUCUCGCUGAGUUGGUUUAUAACAAGCUAAGGAUCCUAAAGAAGGAGUUCUCACAUAGAGUACGCGGAACAGGCGAGAAUAAUCAAUCAAUUUCAGUAAAGAACAUAUCACCAUAUCAGCAGGAGACCUCAACUAAAUAUGGAAAUGACAAAUCAAUCCCUGAGCAGGCAGCAUCUGUUGGUGGGAACGAAUCACACCAAGAGGAUUCACAUGAUUUAGUGAUUGAGGCUAUCGUACCAGGAGAGAAGGAAGUCAAGGAACUGCUAUCUGUUCCAGAGAUUCAUGCAAAGCAGCAUUUAUCAAAGGAUGUACUUCUUAGUAGAAUCAGAGAGAAAAGAAUUAAUUUGGUUGACAUGGUUUUCUCCUUGAGAGAAAAGAAUAUCCAUGAUAAACAAGCAAACGAGGUGGCAAUGUUUGACAUGCACAGGCACAAGGGAGUGGUGAAACUGAGAGAAUCAUGCAGAAUAGUUGUGGAACACCUUCGUAGGUCUCAAGCUGAUCCAGAGGGCAGAGGCGGUCAAACGAAGCUAAUAGUUGUAUGGUUUACUAUGCUACUAUGUGCGUUUCUGAAGCACAUGAGGUACCAACGUGAGAAGCUUGACUGGCAGCAAUCAAAGGUGUGGACUAAGGAGUUGCAGUUGAAGGAAGAUUUCCUUGACAAAGCAAAAUCUGGCCAAUUGGAUCAUACUUUUGAUCAACGUAUUUGUUUACCAGAUUCAGGCUUUGCCAUUGAAGAAUUCAGCCACUUUAGCUCCUGUGUUGAUACAGCUACCUUGGCAAACUGUCCGCAGUCUUUGCACGGAACCUCGGCGAUGGAAGUUACAUUGGUUCGUGGUGUGAUUCCAUCUGAUGUUAUCAAUGCAGAAGCAGCGGGAAAUGGUUCUGCUGAAGUUUUUAUCCACAGUGAAGGAAGGCUGGCAUCAGAGAACAUGGUCAGCAAUAGUUUUGCUUGCAUCGACUCGCAAGGAGGGGCAUCUCUGUCAGUUCAACACCAAUUAAACUCUAGUCCUGCAAUUGAUAAUUCUAUUAAUCAGGAAUCUUCAAGUGGUGACCAUAGAAGGAUCGAACAUGUUGAGCAACAGAGUGGUGUGGGUUCGCAACCAUUACCGGGAGAGACUGACCGAUGUUUAGGAGAUGCUGAAAUGGAAGUUAACACCGGCAAUGGAGACAAUACUCAGGCAGAUCCACCGGAAUCACAGACUCUGGCUCCUGUGCCUAGCCAGGCUUCCUUGCAAAUGUCUAAGGAAGUUGAAGCCGAGGCCAAUCUUGUAAUGCCGUCUGCCGAACCAAUUGUAGCACCAGCACCACUUCUACGAAGAGAGGCAGAACAAGUAGACCGUUCUGGUAUAACACCAGCUCAGACGUUGCAACCUGAAAUGCAACCAUCAGCAUCCAGGGAAGUUUCUACUCCGACGGAUCUGAUAAUUCAGUCUGCACAACCAAGUAUGGUGCCAACUGAGCUUUCACAAAGAGAUGUAGAACAAUCAAGCCUACUUUCCCGUGCGCCAUCAUCUCAGUGUUUGCCAUCGGUUCCACUGUCCAGUAUUCCACUUGAAAGAACAAGCCCUGAUCAGUGUCAACAAAGUCAUCAACCUGAGGCUGCACCGGGUUCUUUAGCACAACUCUUUCUGGGGGCACCAAUGAUGUUUAAUCAUCCACCAGUUGGUGAUGAACCACUGAAAAAUGAGUUGCACAGAUUACGGUUAUACAUUGACUCACGUAAUAAAGCCCACAAACUAAAGCAAUCACAACUUAUGACCGAGUGUAGCCAGGAAAUAGAGAAGGUCAAACAAAAGUAUAAUUCGUUACUUGAAGAAAAUGAUUCCACUCAUCUUCAGCAAAGGAAGAUGCUUGAUAGUUUAUGUGAGAAAGUUAUCCUCAACCAGUCACUAGCUGACGAUUUUCGGGCUAAAUUCAUAUCUUCUUCUGGAGCGCAAGCUAGAGCCCACAGCCCUCCAAAUCACCAGAGACCCCAGGCUUCUCAGCAAGUUCCCAUGAGGCCUUCAGCGGCGGCAUCGACUGCAUCACCAACUGCAUCGUCGACAGCUGGUCGACCACCAGUGCAGAUGCAUCAUGUCCAACCAUUACAGGUCCAUCAACCAUCACCAUCAUCAUCAUCAUCGCCAUCUUCACCUCACCCCUCCAGAUCAACAUCAACUACUUUUGGUCUCGUGCCAGUUCUGCCACGGGGAAACUUUGGAGUCCAGAGUGAAGUAACACGUGUACCUGCUCCUCAUCUUCAGCACAGGUUGCCUCCACAGGUGCAUUUGAUGGCACAUGCAAAUCAGCAGCAGCUUCCAACUGGGCUCGAGAGCACGUCUGCAAGGACACGGUCUACCCCUGUGACUCCAGUAAAUAUAAGACAAUCAUGCCCACAGGCAGUUCCCCCAGGGAACCAAUCACUGUCAAGCUUGCACCCAAGUUCACACCCCACUGUACCUGCACCAUUGGGGCCAUCAAGCUCACAUCAAAUUCAGCAGGUUCCACCACUGCCAUCAAGUUCACAGCCAACACGCCUGCUGUCGCCUGUAUCUUCGGUUCCAAGUCCAGUUCUGCCACUAACAUCACCGCGAGGAAAGCUUGGGCUGCGCAAUGAUCCCCCUGGCGUGGCCGCUCGUGUAGAUGUGGUAUGCCUAUCUGACGAUGAAUAGACCGAUGACUAAACCAAGCAAAAAUGAGGCUCGUCUCUUCGCUCCAACAGAAGGUUGCUUUGGUCAAUCUCAUGAGUAACCACCUGUAAUGCAACUGCAUGCUUGUUUCUUCCAUGGGAUGGAUACUUUCUCGUGUCGGUCAAUCUAUCCCAUGAGUAGGGGCGGAAUUUCAUCAAGACUGACAAGCUGUAAAUUAGAGUCCCGGUAUGCAGCGACUCAUUUGUCACGGUUUUUAUGCGAAGCUUGCGCUCUUAGAUGCAUGUGCGCCACAUGUCGCAUGGUUGUCUAAUAUUUUUCCUGCCAGAGAGGAGCUUCGUGCCGGCGACCAAAGAAUCCGCGGUUCUGCGAUCUUUGCUUUUAUUUGCUGAAUUCUUCCAUUUCGUAUAUAUAGUAUGAAGAGGAAUUUGGUACUGUUGCUCAUGUUAGUGGAGACUGACUCAGUUUUAUCUCCUCUGUAAAAUCUUAGUGCACAAGGGAGGGUGGCCAGGCCAGUGAAUGCUUUUACCUCAGCAGAGCUAUAUAGCUCAGGAGUGCAUAUCCAGUGAUACGAGCAGUGCUAUGAUACCGUGAUCCAGCGAGAUGUGGUCCGUUGGAUCUGUACCCGAGGAACAGGAUUUAAGAUCUGCAGACUCCACUGCUAAAUAUACAAAACAGGCCUUAAAUGUGUAUAAAAAGAUUUG